rnacentral:rRNA from 1 species
UCGUAGGCGGUUUGUCGCGUCUGCUGUGAAGCCCGGGGCUUAACCCCGGGUGUGCAGUGGGUACGGGCAGACUAGAGUGCAUUAAGGGAGACUGGAAUUCCUGGUGUAGCGGUGGAAUGCGCAGAUAUCAGGAGGAACACCGAUGGCGAAGGCAGGUCUCUGGGCUGUUACUGACGCUGAGGAGCGAAAGCAUGGGGAGCGAACAGGAUUAGAUACCCUGGUAGUCCAUGCCGUAAACGUUGGGCACUAGGUGUGGGGGACAUUCCACGUUUUCCGCGCCGUAGCUAACGCAUUAAGUGCCCCGCCUGGAGAGUACGGCCGCAAGGCUAAAACUCAAAGGAAUUGACGGGGGCCCGCACAAGCGGCGGAGCAUGCGGAUUAAUUCAAUGCAACGCGAAGAACCUUACCAAGGCUUGACAUAUACCGGAUCGUUCCAAAGAUGGUUCUUCCCCUUUGGGGUCGGUAUACAGGUGGUGCA